CGAUCCUUCUUCUUCCAUCUAAUCUCUUUUACAAUUUGAUAUUUUUCGUUUUCAUCUUUCUCCUCAUGCUCUCUUUAUAUUUUUUUUGUUUAUUCUAAAUCAUAAGCUUUGAUCUACACUUAACAGUGGUAACUACACCCGAAAGUCUCCCUCAACUCAGUCCGUUUUCGAUGUAACUACCUACAUGAGUGAGAAUAUGUGAAACUUAUCUUUCUCAUCCAACGCCACAUCACUUGAAGCUGAACUAGGACGGUCGGAGAUUUUCGUCACUAUCACCGGAGACGCAAAGCGGCAGCUCGGAUCUCUGUGAAAACCCUAAGAUUUUAUUGGGCUGGGCUUUUUUUUAAUUGUCGUUGGGCUUUUUAUUAUAUUUGUAGUGAGCUUUUUAUAAGAUUUAGAUCUGUAAUAGAUUAAAAUUUUCUUUUGUAAAUAUGCAAACCGAAAUUAAAACCGAAUAAACCGAAGAAAAAAAAAUUCGGUUCAAUUUCGGAAUUUAAUAUUUUGCCAAUAA